UAACCUGUCAACAGGAACACAGAGGGAAAAUCCUAAUGGCACUAAGUUACUCCUGACAAGUGGAUCAGCACCCACGGACAGCCACAUGCUGUGUUGCGAAGACCAGCUCUGGUGUCCCAAGAACAAGUGAGCUUGGCACAGCCUCGAGGAGCACUGUCAGCAGCUACAGCAAAGAACCUGGAGUCAAGACAGUAUGGAGAUAGCAAUCUUAAAAUAAUAAAAAUCAAGGAAGAAAUGCAGAUAAUCAAGUUUUGGGGAGAGUCACUGAAGGAGGACUGAAUAUUCAUAGCUGCUUUUCUCCACUUGAGAUGCUCAGAGAAGGGACUGGGUUUCCAGGAGAGCUCCUUUGGGGCUGCGUAGUGUCUGCCACAAACUUUUGGAAAAUGUGGGCCACAAAACACAAGGCAGCAUGUAUAGAGAGCUGUAAUUUGGGAAAGUGAAGACCUGGACCUACUUCUUCUGUCCCUCC
rnacentral:lncRNA from 1 species